UACGUAGGGCGCAAGCGUUGUCCGGAAUUAUUGGGCGUAAAGAGCUCGUAGGCGGUUUGUCGCGUCGUUCGUGAAAACUCACAGCUUAACUGUGAGCUUGCGGUCGAUACGGGCAGGCUAGAGUUCGGUAGGGGAGACUGGAAUUCCUGGUGUAGCGGUGAAAUGCGCAGAUAUCAGGAGGAACACCGGUGGCGAAGGCGGGUCUCUGGGCCGAUACUGACGCUGAGGAGCGAAAGCGUGGGGAGCGAACAGG
rnacentral:rRNA from 1 species